CUGGCGCUGGUGCAGGCCUUCAGCGUCAGGCUGUGGCCGAUUGCCCUGGCAGUGGGCGGCUAUGUCGCCGUGUCGAUCGGCGGCACCGUA
rnacentral:tRNA from 1 species